UACUGAAGGUGCAAGCGUUAAUCGGAAUUACUGGGCGUAAAGCGCGCGUAGGCGGCUAUUUAAGUCGGAUGUGAAAGCCCCGGGCUCAACCUGGGAACUGCACUCGAUACUGGAUGGCUAGAGUAUGGGGAGAGGGCUGUGGAAUUCCACGUGUAGCGGUGAAAUGCGUAGAUAUGUGGAGGAACAUCAGUGGCGAAGGC
rnacentral:rRNA from 1 species